GCCACUUCCCAAUACAGCAAAAAUUUGAAAUUGAUUACAAGUAACUCAGCCACAAAACCUGGUCCAUCUCCACAUAUGGCUUCCAUUCAGGAAGGUCAUCAAAGGGGAACAUUUUCUCUCUGGAGGAAAAAAAGAGGCUUUUGAAAAAAUGCGUCACUUGAUAGAAAAAGCACGGGAACAGAGGAAACUCGCUCUCCUUAAAUCCAACCCCAAAGCUACACCGAGGACGAGACUGACUCCUUUAAGGCUGACUCAGGUUUCUGCUCAGAGGAGAGGUCACCUUAUGUCCUCAAAAAGAAGACCGCAAGGGAUAGCCCGAAGUUCUGGAAUGAAAGUAGAAAAAAAACCUGAUAACAUGCAGCUAUCCAAGGUGUGUAUAAGUGAUCCUGUUUCCCAGUGG